rnacentral:rRNA from 1 species
GACGAACGCUGGCGGCGUGCUUAACACAUGCAAGUCGAACGAAGUGGCGAACGGGUGAGUAACGCGUAAUCAACCUGCCCUUCAGAGGGGGACAACAGUUGGAAACGACUGCUAAUACCGCAUACUGAAGGUGGGGAUUGCGUCUGAUUAGCUAGUUGGAGGGGUAACGGCCCACCAAGGCGAUGAUCAGUAGCCGGUCUGGUAGGGUGAACGGCCAAAUUGGGACCGGGACACGGCCCAGACUCCUACGGGAGGCAGCCAGGGGGAAUCUUCCGAAAUGGACGGAAGUCUGACGGAGCAACGCCGCGGUGGGGAUGACGGCCUUCGGGUUGUAAAGCUCUGUUAGUCAGGACGCGGUACCGGAAUAGAAAGCCACGGCUAACUACGUGCCAGCCGCCGCGGUAAUAC